GUUCAGCCGACGAGUCCCAAAUAGGAUGAAACGCGUUUCAUGGAU
rfam:Schistosoma curassoni strain Dakar, Senegal genome assembly, scaffold: SCTD_contig0004549